rnacentral:lncRNA from 1 species
UCCAUUUCUUCGCCCGGAAUGUAUAAGGGGUUAUCUUGGCAUCUGAACCACUUAAAAUGACGGCAAUCGCAUCGCAUCUUGAUUCGUAAGCCAAACACCUCGCGAACGCCAAAACUGCUACCGUUUCCAAAGCCCGUCAAGAGUCUCUCUCUUAAGAGACCAGCGCUGGCGGUGUCACUUGGAUGCCCGUGGAGGGCCCUCCCGGCGCGCACAAGCUUAUACGCUCGAAAUCAAAAGAAAGAACGUGGGAGUUAGCAGGUUCUUCACGGCUCGACACGACGGGAGAGAAGUUCUAUCAUAGCCUAACGCUGCUUAAACACAGUCGAACACCGGCC